GAUGAACGCUAGCGGCAGGCUUAAUACAUGCAAGUCGAGGGGCAGCAUGAUUGUAGCAAUACAAUUGAUGGCGACCGGCAAACGGGUGCGGAACACGUACACAACCUUCCAACAAGUGGGGGAUAGCCCAGAGAAAUUUGGAUUAAUACCCCGUAACAUAGCGAUGUGGCAUCACAUUGCUAUUAUAGAUUUUUCGCUUGUUGAUGGGUGUGCGGCUGAUUAGAUAGUUGGCGGGGUAACGGCCCACCAAGUCUACGAUCAGUAGCUGAUGUGAGAGCAUGAUCAGCCACACGGGAACUGCAACACGGGCCCGACUCCUACGGGAGGCAGCAGUAAGGAAUAUUGGACAAUGGACGCAAGUUUGGUCCAGCCAUGCCGCGUGAAGGAUUAAGGUCCUCUGGAUUGUAAACUUCUUUUAUAAGGGACGAAAAAAGGCUUUUCUAAGUCGUCUGACGGUACCUUAUGAAUAAGCACCGGCUAACUCCGUGCCAGCAGCCGCCGUAACAC
rnacentral:rRNA from 1 species